AGACUGUAAAAGAUUUUGUUUUUUUUUUUUUUGCUUGGACACCGGCUUUUCUUAUAAGGUUUCCUUUUAUCUUAAAAAGUAACUUUUAAUCAUAAAA